GUAAUUGGGCCUAUAGAUGGGUCACUUUUCCCCAUCAAAGCUCCAAGUGGCCCAACUGAGCCGGCUUAUGUGUGCCGUAAGGGAUACCAUGCCAUCAAUGUUCAGGCCAUAGGGGACCAAAAUAUGGUUACACGGCAUUUGUUGGCAAAGUGGCCUGGAUCCACCCAUGACUCUUUCAUAUUCAACACCAGAUGGAGAUGCCAUGAUAUGAGUGGGGGAUAUCUUCAAUAUUCCCCUGAGAGAGCAGUGAUGUUCGUGAAGGCCACUGCUGUGUUGCACAACAUAUGCAGGAUUGCUAAUCUCCCGGACCCUGAGGACGUCCCGGCCAUGGUUGAAGAUGAGGAGAAAGGCCAUGAUGGCAUACAUGAUGGUGCAUAGACUGGUAGAACUACCAGAAACAACCUAAUUGCACAUUAUAUUAGAUAAGAUAAUUAAAAAGAAAACAUACCCAUUUGAUGUAAAAUAUUUAAUUCAACAACAUAAAAAAUAAAUUAACAGUUUAACUCAAUCAAAU
ensembl:lncRNA